rnacentral:rRNA from 1 species
AGCAGCCGCGGUAAUUCCAGCUCCAAUAGCGUAUAUUAAAGUUGUUGCAGUUAAAAGCUCGUAGUUGAAUUUCGGGAUUGGCGCAUCGGUCGUGCCUUACGGGGUAUGAACUGGUGCAGUCAAUUUCUCACCUUCUGGAGAACCGCGAUGUCCUUAAUUGGGUGCCGCGGGGAACCAGGACCUUUACUUUGAAAAAAUUAGAGUGUUUAAAGCAGGCAUUUUUGCUUGAAUACAUUAGCAUGGAAUAAUAAAAUAGGACGGCAUGGUUCUAUUUUGUUGGUUUCUAGGACCACCGUAAUGAUUAAUAGGGAUAGUUGGGGGCAUUAGUAUUCAAUUGUCAGAGGUGAAAUUCUUGGAUUUAUUGAAGACUAACUACUGCGAAAGCAUUUUGCCAAGGAUGUUUUCAUUAAUCAAGAACGAAAGUUAGGGGAUCGAAGACGAUCAGAUACCGUCGUAGUCUUAACCAUAAACUAUGCCGACUAGGAAUCAGACGAUGUAAUUUUUUAAUGACUCGUUUGGC